rnacentral:rRNA from 1 species
GGAGUUUGGACCGUGUCUCAGUUCCAAUGUGGGGGACCUUCCUCUCAGAACCCCUACUGAUCGUUGACUUGGUGAGCCGUUACCUCACCAACUAUCUAAUCAGACGCAUCCCCAUCCACUGCCGCUAAACCUUUAGUUCUAUUUGGAUGUCCGCUUAGAACUUCAUACGGUAUUAAUCCGUCUUUCGACGGGCUAUCCCGUGGUAGUGGGAAGGUUGGAUACGCGUUACUCACCCGUGCGCCGGUCGCCAUCAGAGUUUGCAAGCAAACUCCAUGAUGCCCCUCGACUUGCAUGUGUUAAGCCUGUAGCUAGCGUUCAUCCUGAGCCAUGAUCAAACUACU